CAAACUCAGAGCCGUGCUCAAACUCAGAGUAGCGACAUUAAAGCGCAGAAAUGCCAGCAAAGGAGCCGAGUUAAUGAGAUUUAAGCCGCAACUCUGGGACAUGGCGCGUUUUGAAUUUAAUAGCCACCACUGGCGAGCGGCGUCACCAAAAAAAGAAACCCCACAGAAUAUCAGCACCGAGUGCUCUAACUGAGUUUUACGACAUUGUUUUUCCAGGGAGUCGGCGAGCAACUACAUAAUCAACGAGAAAAAAAUGAAGCUAACUGGUUCCGUUUCCAUGCGGAUCAAUCAAACAAUAAGUCAGGCAGCCAAAACUGAAGCUUCAUUAAAAGUAAAUGUUCGAUAUAGACAAGCAAAUCGAGACAACCACCCACAGGAACACUCCGUGGACAAGCUGUCAGUCCGUGUUCGCCGAUCUAUCCGUGGAUUCGGAUUCCGAGAUCCAGAGAUUCAGUGAUCCAGUGCUGACAUUUGACAUGCGUCCGCUGCCCCAACAAAUGAGGCACAGACUUCUGCGAUUGCUGCCACUGUGGGUUGCAUGCAAAUCGGAGCUGCCUCGGAAAAACUUGAAAACUGGUAGCCGAAGUCAGUGCAGGUCGAGGCAAAAGUCAGUGGAAAAUAUACAAGCGGGAAUAAAAACGAAAAUGCAAAACGA